rnacentral:rRNA from 1 species
CUGGCGGCGUGCCUAAUACAUGCAAGUCGAGCGGACAGAUGGGAGCUUGCUCCCUGAUGUUAGCGGCGGACGGGUGAGUAACACGUGGGUAACCUGCCUGUAAGACUGGGAUAACUCCGGGAAACCGGGGCUAAUACCGGAUGGUUGUUUGAACCGCAUGGUUCAAACAUAAAAGGUGGCUUCGGCUACCACUUACAGAUGGACCCGCGGCGCAUUAGCUAGUUGGUGAGGUAAUGGCUCACCAAGGCAACGAUGCGUAGCCGACCUGAGAGGGUGAUCGGCCACACUGGGACUGAGACACGGCCCAGACUCCUACGGGAGGCAGCAGUAGGGAAUCUUCCGCAAUGGACGAAAGUCUGACGGAGCAACGCCGCGUGAGUGAUGAAGGUUCUCGGAUCGUAAAGCUCUGUUGUUAGGGAAGAACAAGUACCGUUCGAAUAGGGCGGUACCUUGACGGUACCUAACCAGAAAGCCACGGCUAACUACGUGCCAGCAGCCGCGGUAAUACGUAGGUGGCAAGCGUUGUCCGGAAUUAUUGGGCGUAAAGGGCUCGCAGGCGGUUUCUUAAGUCUGAUGUGAAAGCCCCCGGCUCAACCGGGGAGGGUCAUUGGAAACUGGGGAACUUGAGUGCAGAAGAGGAGAGUGGAAUUCCACGUGUAGCGGUGAAAUGCGUAGAGAUGUGGAGGAACACCAGUGGCGAAGGCGACUCUCCGGUCUGUAACUGACGCUGAGGAGCGAAAGCGUGGGGAGCGAACAGGAUUAGAUACCCUGGUAGUCCACGCCGUAAACGAUGAGUGCUAAGUGUUAGGGGGUUUCCGCCCCUUAGUGCUGCAGCUAACGCAUUAAGCACUCCGCCUGGGGAGUACGGUCGCAAGACUGAAACUCAAAGGAAUUGACGGGGGCCCGCACAAGCGGUGGAGCAUGUGGUUUAAUUCGAAGCAACGCGAAGAACCUUACCAGGUCUUGACAUCCUCUGACAAUCCUAGAGAUAGGACGUCCCCUUCGGGGGCAGAGUGACAGGUGGUGCAUGGUUGUCGUCAGCUCGUGUCGUGAGAUGUUGGGUUAAGUCCCGCAACGAGCGCAACCCUUGAUCUUAGUUGCCAGCAUUCAGUUGGGCACUCUAAGGUGACUGCCGGUGACAAACCGGAGGAAGGUGGGGAUGACGUCAAAUCAUCAUGCCCCUUAUGACCUGGGCUACACACGUGCUACAAUGGACAGAACAAAGGGCAGCGAAACCGCGAGGUUAAGCCAAUCCCACAAAUCUGUUCUCAGUUCGGAUCGCAGUCUGCAACUCGACUGCGUGAAGCUGGAAUCGCUAGUAAUCGCGGACCAGCAUGCCGCGGUGAAUACGUUCCCGGGCCUUGUACACACCGCCCGUCACACCACGAGAGUUUGUAACACCCGAAGUCGGUGAGGUAACCUUUUAGGAGCCAGCCGUCGAAGGUGGGACAGAUGAUUGGGGUGAAGUCGUAACAAGGUAGCCGUAUCGGAAGGUGCGGCUG